rnacentral:rRNA from 1 species
UGUAAGCGUAUACCAAAGUUGUUGCAGUUAAAACGCUCGUAGCCGGAAUUUGGCAGUUCCGGAUGUGUGCACGUCGUGUGCGCACUUCGCGGGGAUUGCUUUUGUGGUCUUGCGUAGGAUGAGGCACUUUUAUUAGUGAACGUCCUCACGCAACCACUUUUUACUGUGAGAAAAUCAGAGUGCUCAAAGCAGGCAUUUGCCGUGAAUGUAUUAGCAUGGAAUAAUAGAAUAGGACUUGGUUCUAUUUUGUUGGUUUGUUGGGACUGAGUAAUGAUUAAGAGGGACAGUUGGGGGCAUUUGUAUUUCGGUGCUAGAGGUGAAGUUCUUAGAUUACCGAAAGACAGACUGCUGCGAAAGCGUCUGCCAAGGAUGUUUUCAUUGA